UACAGAGGUCUCAAGCGUUGUUCGGAUUCAUUGGGCGUAAAGGGUGCGUAGGCGGCGCGGUAAGUCGGGUGUGAAAUCUCGGAGCUUAACUCCGAAACUGCAUUCGAUACUGCCGUGCUUGAGGACUGGAGAGGAGACUGGAAUUUACGGUGUAGCGGUGAAAUGCGUAGAUAUCAUAAGGAAGACCAGUGGCGAAGGCGGGUCUCUGGACAGUUCCUGACGCUGAGGCACGGAAGGUCAGGGGAGCAAACGGG
rnacentral:rRNA from 1 species